GGGAGAAACCACAAGAUCUUUGGUAAGCAAAGAAAAUGGAUAUUCUUACCACUAAGACUGAGAGAUUACAUGACAACCAACCAUAGUGAGCAUAACCAAAAAGAGGGCCCAGGAAGCCAAUGAUCUACUUUACCCGAAGUAAGAAGAUCCUGCUAAAUCCACCAGAUUGAGUAAGGAGGUCCGUAUAUUCACAGUUUCAUUGCUUUUCUCCAUUGACUCUACUGUAAUUGUAAAGACCGCAUGAGACCUAGAAGACUCUCUAUUCAUUGAUGUUGAUGCUACACGUCUAUUUCUCCAUCCUCCAGACAGGACCUAGGCAAAAGGAAAAUUGCCACAACUUCCAAGUGACACAACAGCCAUUUUAAGCUGAUAGAUUAUAUAGACAAAAAAAAAAAAUUAGUAAAAAUGUAAAAGCCUAUAUUCAAGGAUAUACAUUCUUCUCAUGCACAC